rnacentral:sRNA from 1 species
GUUUCAAUUCCUCAUAGGCAGGCUAUCGGCCGGCAAAGGUGUUGACAGGAAGUAAAAGAUAUGGUAGAAG